rnacentral:rRNA from 1 species
UCCGACUGCUAUCCGGGUAAGACUAAGCCAUGCAAGUCGAAUGGAACAGCUUGUUCCAUGGCGAACUGCUCAGUAACAAGUAAUCAACUUACCCUUCAGUGGAGGAUAACCUCGGGAAACUGAGGCUAAUACUCCAUAGUUGGAAAUUCCUGGAAUGGUUUUCCAUCAAAAGAUAUUUCUAAAUGCGGAAAAUUCGCUGAAGGAUAGGAUCGCUUUCGAUUACGGUUGUUGGUGAGGUAAUGGCUCACCAAGCCUAUGAUCGAUAAGGGCCGUGAGAGCGGUAGCCCUGAGAUGGAUACUGAGACGAUGAUCCAGGCCUUACGAGGCGCAGCAGGCGCGAAACCUUUACAAUGCACGAAAGUGUGAUAAGGUUACCCGGAGUGCUAAAAUUAAAUUUUAGCUGUUAUAGGUGUGUAAAUAACCCUAUGAGAAAGGAGAGGGCAAGGCUGGUGCCAGCCGCCGCGGUAAAACCAGCUCUUCAAGUGGUCGGGAAUAUUAUUGGGCUUAAAGUGUCCGUAGCCGGUUUAGUAAGUUCCUGGUUAAAUCUGGCAGCUUAACUGUCAGUCAGCUAGGAAUACUACUUUACUAGAGGGUGGGAAAGGUUUGAGGUACUCCAGGGGUAGCGGUGAAAUGCGAUAAUCCUUGGGGGACCACCAGUGGCGAAGGCGUCAAACUGGAACACGCCUGACGGUGAGGGACGAAAGCCAGGGGAGCGAACGGGAUUAGAUACCCCGGUAGUCCUGGCUGUAAACGAUGCGUGCUAGGUGUUGGUAGGGCUUUGAGCUGUAUCAGUGCCGUAGGGAAACUGUUAAGCGCGCCGCCUGGGAAGUACGCUCGCAAGAGUGAAACUUAAAGGAAUUGGCGGGGAAGCACCACAAGGGGUGAAGCCUGCGGUUC